UACGUAGGCAGCAAGCGUUGUUCGGAGUUACUGGGCGUAAAGGGUGUGUAGGCGGUUGGAUAAGUGUGGUGUGAAAUCUCCCGGCUCAACUGGGAGGGUGCGCUACAAACUGUCUGACUAGAGUGUGGGGAUGGGAAAGUGGAAUUCCUGGUGUAGCGGUGAAAAUGCGUAGAUAUCAGGGAGGGAACACCCGGUGGGUGUAGACGGCUUUUCUG
rnacentral:rRNA from 1 species